GGCCUACUCCUGCAUCUAUUGUCUAUUGACUCGUUAGUUAGACACGCGGAUAUGCAGGGAAUGGAGGGAUAUGGAUUAUACGCUGGAAGAUAAGUGUUGGUCUCGGCAACAUGUUCGGCACAGACAUUUUGGGCCGAAGAACUUGUUUCUGUGCUGUAUG